CCUACGGGAGGCUGCAGUGAGGAAUAUUGGUCAAUGGGCUUACGCCUGAACCAGCCAAGUCGCGUGAGGGAAGACUGCCCUAUGGGUUGUAAACCUCUUUUGUCCGGGAGCAAUUGGCGCUACGUGUAGCGUUAUCGAGAGUACCUGAAGAAAAAGCAUCGGCUAACUCCGUGCCAGCAGCCGCGGUAAUACGGAGGAUGCGAGCGUUAUCCGGAUUGAUUGGGGUAAAAGGGUGCGCAGGCGGAAUGCCAAGUCAGCGGGAACAUCGCGGGGCUCAACCUCGCUCCGCCGUUGAAACUGGCGUUCUUGAGUGGGCGAGAAGUAUGCGGAAUGCGUGGUGUAGCGGUGAAAUGCAUAGAUAUCACGCAGAACUCCGAUUGCGAAGGCAGCAUACCGGCGCCCAACUGACGCUGAAGCACGAAAGCGUGGGUAUCGAACAGGAUUAGAGACCCGGGUAGUC
rnacentral:rRNA from 1 species